rnacentral:sRNA from 1 species
UCGGUUUGGAAAACAGACCUUAUGAAAGCAGUUUUAGUAAAGCAGUCCUCAGUUCAGGUGUUAUCCUUAGAUAUCCCUUCUUCAUGAGCCUUCUCCUAAGUGCCAAAUAAGUAACUCUCUCAAUACAGGCCAUCAUCGCCGCACUAUGUGGCUCAUAAAUUAAGGAAUUAUCUAUGUCUAAUAAAAUGACUGGUUUAGUAAAAUGGUUCAACGCAGAUAAAGGUUUUGGCUUUAUCACUCCUGACAACGGCAGCAAAGAUGUAUUCGUGCAUUUCUCUGCAAUCCAGGGCGAUAACUUCAAAACUCUGGAUGAAGGUCAGAAAGUGUCCUUCACCAUUGAAAAUGGCGCUAAAGGCCCUGCGGCCGGUAACGUCACUGCACUGUAACAGGUGCUCAUUAUC